AUUGAACGCUGGCGGCAGGCCUAACACAUGCAAGUCGAGCGGAUGAGAGGAGCUUGCUCCUCGAUUCAGCGGCGGACGGGUGAGUAAUGCCUAGGAAUCUGCCUAGUAGUGGGGGACAACGUUUCGAAAGGAACGCUAAUACCGCAUACGUCCUACGGGAGAAAGUGGGGGAUCUUCGGACCUCACGCUAUUAGAUGAGCCUAGGUCGGAUUAGCUAGUUGGUAGGGUAAAGGCCUACCAAGGCGACGAUCCGUAACUGGUCUGAGAGGAUGAUCAGUCACACUGGAACUGAGACACGGUCCAGACUCCUACGGGAGGCAGCAGUGGGGAAUAUUGGACAAUGGGCGAAAGCCUGAUCCAGCCAUGCCGCGUGUGUGAAGAAGGCCUUCGGGUCGUAAAGCACUUUAAGUUGGGAGGAAGGGCUCAUAGCGAAUACCUGUGAGUUUUGACGUUACCAACAGAAUAAGCACCGGCUAACUUCGUGCCAGCAGCCGCGGUAA
rnacentral:rRNA from 1 species